UCAGCUGCAUCUCGAGAAUCAGCAGAACAGCCAACUGGGGCAUUAAUAAAAAAUCAAUCAAAAAAAAAAAGGAAAAAAGGAGGGUGCAAAAUAAAAAAAAAAUCAAAUCAAAAUCGAAAAAAAAUCAAAAGAAAUCAAAAGAAAUCAAAAGAAAGAAAACAAAAGAGAAAUAACACCCUCCAAGUCCCAAGUUGACUGAUGCUGAAUUCAAUCGAAAGGAAGAGAUCAACUGCCAUGUGUCAUGGUCAGUCCUAUCAGCAGAGAAAAAAAAAAGGCAUUCAACAAGAAGGUCAAGC
rnacentral:lncRNA from 1 species